UACGAAGGGGGCUAGCGUUGUUCGGAUUUACUGGGCGUAAAGCGCACGUAGGCGGAUUGGUCAGUUAGGGGUGAAAUCCUGGAGCUCAACUCCAGAACUGCCUUUAAUACUGCCAAUCUCGAGUCCGGAAGAGGUAAGUGGAGCUCCUAGUGUAGAGGUGGAAUUCGUAGAUAUUAGGAAGAACACCAGUGGCGAAGGCGGCUUACUGGUCCGGUACUGACGCUGAGGUGCGAAAGCGUGGGGAGCAAACAGG
rnacentral:rRNA from 1 species